rnacentral:rRNA from 1 species
AGUCGAGCGGACUUAAAAAGCUUGCUUUUUAAGUUAGCGGCGGACGGGUGAGUAACACGUGGGCAACCUGCCUGUAAGACUGGGAUAACUUCGGGAAACCGGAGCUAAUACCGGAUAAUCCUUUUCUACUCAUGUAGAAAAGCUGAAAGACGGUUUACGCUGUCACUUACAGAUGGGCCCGCGGCGCAUUAGCUAGUUGGUGAGGUAACGGCUCACCAAGGCGACGAUGCGUAGCCGACCUGAGAGGGUGAUCGGCCACACUGGGACUGAGACACGGCCCAGACUCCUACGGGAGGCAGCAGUAGGGAAUCUUCCGCAAUGGACGAAAGUCUGACGGAGCAACGCCGCGUGAGUGAUGAAGGUUUUCGGAUCGUAAAACUCUGUUGUUAGGGAAGAACAAGUACGAGAGUAACUGCUCGUACCUUGACGGUACCUAACCAGAAAGCCACGGCUAACUACGUGCCAGCAGCCGCGGUAAUACGUAGGUGGCAAGCGUUGUCCGGAAUUAUUGGGCGUAAAGCGCGCGCAGGCGGUCCUUUAAGUCUGAUGUGAAAGCCCACGGCUCAACCGUGGAGGGUCAUUGGAAACUGGGGGACUUGAGUGCAGAAGAGAAGAGUGGAAUUCCACGUGUAGCGGUGAAAUGCGUAGAGAUGUGGAGGAACACCAGUGGCGGAGGCGACUCUUUGGUCUGUAACUGACGCUGAGGCGCGAAAGCGUGGGGAGCAAACAGGAUUAGAUUACCCUGGUAGUCAACGCCCGUAAAACGAUGAAGUGCCUAAGUUGUUUU